UUUUUUUAAAGUGGAAGAUUAAGUCCUCGUAAUGAUGGAAACUGAUACUGCACCAGUAUGGUUGGAGGAGGGAUCAGCUAGAAGACAAAACAUCAAAGAUCCAGAGUGAGAGCUGAAUGAGAGGCAGCUGGAGAAGAUAGUGCUAGAAGAACUGUAAGACUUGGUUAGUUAUGAAACCUAGAUAAAAUAGAACCCCAGUUUUAAUUAGUUAUAACGGAUGUGUUUAUCUAUUGUUAUUUUUCACCCUAUUGCUCAUAUGGGUGUGUAUGUGUUUUAAAUUUCUUUUUUAUUUCUUUAAUAUACAUUUUUAAAGUAAAAAUUUAACUUGUGGACAUA